AUGUGGCACUUUUUGGAUUUCGAGAUUCAAACAAGUCUAACUUUGAUCGUAAAUUUUUCAUAGAUCUUUUAAACAUUUUGAAUUAUCAAUUAUUGUGACUUAUAGUACUUUUUACGUAGUUUACAAAUAUAUAAAUUUUAUUUCAAAAAAAUUAAAGAUUUCAUGCGCAAAUUCCCGAUCAAACUUAAAAUAUUUGACUCUCGAAAAAUGAAAAUUGUCACGAAA
rnacentral:pre_miRNA from 1 species